rnacentral:sRNA from 1 species
UGAUAUGUCUUAUGCAUAUUAUUCCUUUUGCAGGUGAAUAAUGCUGGUGUUAAUUACAAUCUCGGGGCUGACAAUUCA